UCGCUCGGCUACCCGGCGCUUGGGGCGCCCCUCUCUGGGGCCGCGCUGCGCGAGGGGGAGGGGCGCGCCCCCCCUUUGUCAGGCUGCGAGCGCGGCUCUGUGACAUCACUCAUUCCACCCUCUUCGGGGUUCUUGUUGUUGUGUUGUUUUUUUGUCGGGCAGGAAGGCGGGCUCGACUUUCUCUUUUUGCAAGCGGGAGCAGAAGGCCGUCCUUAGAGCCCGGGCUGCGGUUUCCAUCUUGAGCAGAUCUCCCCCGAAACUUCUCCAAGUGCCCCCCAUAACUUACUUGUUUCCCGAGUUCUCGUCUUCAUUCGGCUGUCUUCCCCAACCGGGCAGGGCCAGGAGAUCGGGAAUUGGGGACGCAGAAAGCAUUCAGGUCUAGGGGUUUCGGGGUGUUGUUGGUGGUGGUGGUUUUUUGGUCCUCAGCUGGACGGGGCGGAGGUAGAGUGGUGGGGGAAACUAGGGAGACUUUUUCCCCGGGGAGGAUCCGGCCCCGCGGGGCGAGCGCAGCAAGAUUUCGCGCGCCGCACGCGUCUACACUCUCCUGCGCUUUGCAGCAGGACCGCGGGAGGGGGAGCCGCAGAAAAGCCCACCACCCGGGAGGAUUGGUUGUUUGUUUAACAGGCCUGGGAGUGGGAUUUAUUUCACGCACCCAACCUUAAAAGUUUUUCAUAAAGAAAACCCGAACCCUCGUGAAUGCCCUUUCCAGUCCGCCCUCCUCCCGCCCAAUUAAAAAAAAAAAUCAUUAACGCACCAAUUUCCACGCGCGCUCUGAACUAGGGGGCACACACACACACACACACACCCCUAGACACUUGAACAAUGAAAAAAAGUUACUUUGGCAAGAAUGAAGGUAAAGAAAUGGGGGAGGCGACACUUUUAACUUCUUGUUGCUUCUCCCCCGCCCCCACGGGAACGGAACAUAUGGCUUGUCACGCUGCGCUGUUUUGGCGGGGGUGGGGGGAGGACGGUAGUAGCAGAUCCUCGAAACCGAAAGCCCCCUCCCCAAUGGAUUACUCCUUUUAAGACUGUGAUAUAUUUACUGUUAGGUUCGCAUGCCCCUCCAUCCACCCCAAUACAAAGUUGUUAACGUGUCGCCCACGGCCCCCGCCCCGGUGCUGGAGCGAAGACCCAGGCGGAAAUCGCGGGGCUAUGUUUCUUUCCUAUUUCCCCGCGUGCCGGCCGCCUCCUCAGCCCUCGCACGUUUCUUCCCAGCACUCGAGGCCGCCCGGUCUGUUAUGAAACCCCGAGCGCUGAGUGGCUAAGAGCGGGUUCCAUUGCGAUGUAAUUAGGUCACCCCAUUAUGAGCACGUUUCUUUGGAAAGGACAGGGCGGGCGGAGCAGAGCGCUGGAGUCGCGCUCUCACCACCACCACCCACCCACCCACACACGCAUUUUUAUUACAUUUCUGAUGUAUUCGUCAACCUCCGAGCGGACCCAGGGAAACCUUCCAAAUCACAACGAAAGGAACCGGUUGUUUUUCAUCUUUCAGAAACACACAACAACUGCUGCAGCCACGAAUCUACGCGAUCCUAGCCGGGUCUGCUGUUAUAUGGUCCCUCUGACUUAAACUGAUGACGGCCCCCAUUUUUGACCUGGAUGCUGCCCCUCGCCUUUCCUUCUGCUGCUGUCCAGCCUCCUGUUGCUUCCCCACCACCACCACCACCACGCCCCGUUCCCAUUUUUCAGCUUUUCUUGAAAUCUGGCAAGCGCCAGAAAGGGAAAUAACUUCCAUCCACCUUAAUUUAAAUCAUUCAAGUGUAAGUUUCUUUCUUAAAGGAGUGUUUGCUCGCUCCUUUCCCCAUGCUCCCCCUCCAAGUCGGGGAGGGGGGGCGUCGAGCAGUUUCUUAGUGAUGAGGUAAUGAGUUCCAGAUUUCAGGACAGAGCAGGCUGCGCGUUAAACCACAAGGUUAGUCUGCGUCCUGAUGUGAAGCUAUUUCGUCUUUUUAUCUCCCUCCCCCUCCCACCUCCAAAAAAAGGCCCAUUGGUCUUUAACUCUGGAGGGUUCGCGAAGCUCUGCUGGGGGAACGGAGGAGGGGUGGAGAAGCGAGGGAGAAGGGGGCCCCGGAGCGGGUGGGGCCGCCUUCCCGGCCCCCGGCCUGGCCCGCACCCGCUGUCCCCCUGCGGCUGCAGGGCCAGCCAGAAGUAUCGUCACAUUGCCCGGCGCCGCAAGCUAGCGAAAAAGUCUUUAUUUUUUUUUUUCUCCCCCCACCCCCACCCCACCCCCAAAGAGAUCGCCGAUUCCUCGAAUUUCCUCCGCUUUUCCAACUCCCGGCCGCCGCUCCCCUCCCCCGCUCCCGGGGCGCGGGCUCGGCGGGGCGGCGGCCUGGCCCGCUCGCUCCGGAGUUGUUUACCGGCCCCGCCGACCCACCGAGUUUGUUCCAGCUCCCAGAGCCUGUCUCUAUAAUUAAACUCUUUUUUAAUUGUCGGGUUGAAACGUCAUUUCGGGGACUUUCCAAGGGUGAGGGAGCCGCGGGGAGGGAGCGAGCCUCCUUAACCCUUCGCUGACCCGGCGGGCCGGGGAGCCGCGUCCAGCCGGGCCGAAGUGGGCUGGGAGUCUGGGGACCGGAGUCGGCCCGCCCCGGCCGGACGUGCUGUGCAGGUGCCCGAAGGCAGCGAGGAUGGCCGCCAGCCCCGACCACGGCAGGAAGCCCUGCGAAAGCCGUGCGCCGCCCUCCCCGCCUCCUUUGCGAGGCAGUAGGCGCUCGGGUUCCUAACUCGCGCCGGGUCUGGAGAGGCCGCCCCUUCACCUGCACUGCCGCUUCCGACCGGGAGGCGGUCGCCCGGGUCCUCCGUUUCAGGCCCGACUUCCGGGCCCUCCAGGCUCCCUUGCAGCCGAUAUCCUCGCGAGGAAGGCCUAGCCAGGUACUUUUGGCUUGGAGGUGUUAGGUUGCGUUCAAAGAGAAAAGUGAAAGUCCUCGGAAUGAGGGAAGCGCGACGGACGUAUUCAUGGGCCAGUCUGGACCGUGGGCACUCCCCACAGCAGCCCCAGCCCCUUUGCUUUGGAAUUAUCCUCCAGCCUCUCCUGCAAAGCCCAGCCCGGAAAGGGACCAACCCCACCCUGGGGAGCUGUUCCUCCAGAAGCAGGAUCCACCGCCCCCCCCUCCCCCCAGGCAGAGCAGGGAGCUGACAACUCUUGGAGGGUCGGCACAUAGGCAGCCGGAGAGAGGAUGGAUCUCUGCCACAAUCCCGUGAUUUCUUCCAAGCUGAAUUUCUCCUGCCAACUAAACCCUCCACCCUGCGGGGGCCACGGGCCCCCACACCAGGGCCUGCCCUCGUCUGACCAAAGACAACCAGAUCUGCUGCAGCUGUUCAGGGAGAGAACAAGCUCUCGCAGAGACCGUGGAAGCGGCUAGAGAAAGAUUCCUGCCAGCCUGGGGGUUUAAAUAUUUAUACAACGUGUAGCAGAACGUUGGACAUUGAUAAGGAUGAUGAGGCACGGAGGCGACCAGGCAGGCGAGCCAGGGGUAGAGAAGGCAAGGGAGACCUCGAUGGCACUCGCGGAGCAGCACGUGGCCACCAUCCCCAUGGGGCCCAGGAGAGGACGGUGCAGCCGGAUGGACAUCCAGUGGGGGCUCUGGGGCCCCAGCAUCCCAGGUAUGCAUCGACAAAGUCGCUUCUCAGCCAGGCCCACCCCAGAGCUCAGCCAGGCCCCAGUGGCACCGAGAGCCCGGGGUGGGAGGCAAGCAUGGGUCAGGGGUGGGGAGGGUGGGGGACGGCCAGAUGGACUCCAGUCGCUCUGCCUCAGACAGCUGGGGAGCAGAGCAAGGACGCGCCUCUCUGUCACUCCACAUGGGAGGGGCGCGGCUGCGACUUCUAGAGUUUCUCCGCCACCGCACCCUUCGAGAAGUGCCACCUGCUUCUAUCAGUUUGAGGCUGAGCCUCAGGGCCUCCCACAGGUGGGGUCUGUGUUGCUCCUCAGUGACCAGCCACCUUUAAGACACCUUGAGAUGAUCAGCCACUACUUCCAUUCUCCUGGAGCCCUGAAAACACCCCCAGGCUGGGCUGCGCUGGGGGUGUUGGGAGGGGGUCUUCAGCCACAGAGCAACUCUCAAAGGACACCCAGACUCCCCCAAGAGGCAGCCCCCCAUGCUGCAAGUCCUCCCACCCACAGCACAGAGCUUUGCUAGAAAUGCAUUCCCCAUGCACCUCCCCAGAGCGCCCACCUUUAGGGGGAUCCCGGUGAAUCCCCCCACCUGUCCACUCCAAGAGGGACGGAUUCCACGGCCUCCCUGAGCAAUGGGGCCCAGGCCCACACACCGUGGAGGAAACACCAUCUGCCCCAAACUUCAGCUCCAGCCUGGCAGCCCAUGUGAACCCUCGCAGCGGGGAGAGGAACCCUGUCCCCAGCCCCGCCCCGCCUCCAGAAGGGGGCUCCUCUCCCAGGGACACCAGGGCUGCCGGAGAAUCUUCUGAUGCUCAGGUCAUCUUCUGCCGCCCUGGCUCUGCCUGCCGGCUGUGGCCUCCUUCUUGCCAGCUCGGCUGAAAGAAAUGAGCAAGAAUAAAGCCUAAACCUGUGUGGCCCAAAGGAAAGCUUGAGGGGAACGCAUGGAUGCUGAAAGAAAAGGGGGGAAGAGCGACAAGAAAGAGGAGAGGAGGGGAACUCGGGAAACAGACAAAAUAAACCAUCCAGGAAUCCAGAUGUAAAACAAGGAGGCCAAAAGAAAAAAGAAAAAUUACGCUAAGAAGGCAGAGUCGGGUGGGGAAGGAACUUGAGAAGGAAAAAGAA